AGUGAACGCUGGCGGUAGGCCUAACACAUGCAAGUCGAACGGCAGCACAGUAAGAGCUUGCUCUUACGGGUGGCGAGUGGCGGACGGGUGAGGAAUACAUCGGAAUCUACUUUUUCGUGGGGGAUAACGUAGGGAAACUUACGCUAAUACCGCAUACGACCUACGGGUGAAAGCAGGGGAUCUUCGGACCUUGCGCGAUUGAAUGAGCCGAUGUCGGAUUAGCUAGUUGGCGGGGUAAAGGCCCACCAAGGCGACGAUCCGUAGCUGGUCUGAGAGGACGAUCAGCCACACUGGAUCUGAGACACGGUCCAGACUCCUACGGGAGGCAGCAGUGGGGAAUAUUGGACAAUGGGCGCAAGCCUGAUCCAGCCAUACCGCGUGGGUGAAGAAGGCCUUCGGGUUGUAAAGCCCUUUUGUUGGGAAAGAAAAGCAGCAGGUUAAUACCCCGCUGUUCUGACGGUACCCAAAGAAUAAGCACCGGCUAACUUCGUG
rnacentral:rRNA from 1 species